CAUAAUAACCCCAGGCAUACAAUAUCAGAUUUCCAGUAGACAUGGAAAGAUACACAAUUUUUUUGAUAAUUUUAUUUGUCACAUAAAUGUAGAAUUAUAAUUUUUAUUAAUAAUAAUAAUGUAAAAUUUUAUUAUUUUACUCCACAGCACCCAAGUUAAAUGUGAAAGCUUCGAAACGUUUGAUAAGAGGGGCAAUGUUUGAUACAGGUGAAUCCAAUAAGAAGGCAAAGAAAGAAAAGCAAACAUCCUGAAACCCAUAACCAAUGAUCAGCAUUCCUCUAUGACUUCCACAAAAUUUUGAGCAGUGUGCUUCAACAGCUGAUUCUCCAAACUGGUAGAUGACCUAGAAAGGUCACCUUCCAUUUACUUUUGAGCAGUGAGAGUUGUAGGGUGAUGACCAAAAGCUAUAAACCAGUCUAUCCUAUUAAGAGAUUGCAAAUUAGUCAUUUUUGAGCUGAAAUCGUAGAAGUUGCAUUGUCAUGAUUUUCGCAGACAUACACCAUCUGUUUAAAAUACACUAUCAAUCAAGCAUGACAAAAAUAUGUGAAGGCAUAGCAAAAAAUAGAAGACUUUUUUGAGUUGGUCAAUAUUUUGAAAUAAUUUGUUAUCUUCAUUUUCGCAAGUUCCCACAAUCAUUCCCAUAUCAUGAUUUACAGGAAAGGAGUGAUUUUAUUUUUUUGUGAGUGAUGUCAGUGAAAGAUGAUUUUAUCCAGACAAUGAAGACAUGUCCACUGUAUUGAUAUUUUGUAAAUGUGUAAUUUUAUUAAGAAAAUAAAAGUAACAUAAUACAAAUAUA